rnacentral:misc_RNA from 1 species
GAUGAAGAACGCAGCGAAAUGCGAUAAGUAAUGUGAAUUGCAGAAUUCAGUGAAUCAUCGAAUCUUUGAACGCAUCUUGCGCUCCUUGGUAUUCUGAGGAGCAUGCCUGUUUGAGUGUCACUAAAUUCUCAACUACACUGACUUUGAAUUGGUGUGGCUUGGAUUUGGGGGGAAAAUUGUUGUGGGCUUUUUGUAUAGUCUGCUCCCCUGAAAUUGAUUAGCGGUACCUUUGUGGAACUGUCUACAGGUGUGAUAAUUUCUACAUCUUAGACAUCUGCUGGAAUGCUGCUUUCUAAACCUUACUUGUAUUGACAAUCUUGACCUCAAAUCAGGUAGGACUACCCGCUGAACUUAAGCAUAUCAAUAAGCGGAGGA